rnacentral:rRNA from 1 species
AGAGUUUGAUCAUGGCUCAGAUUGAACGCUGGCGGCAUGCCUAACACAUGCAAGUCGAACGGCAGCACAGCAGUAGCAAUACUGUGGGUGGCGAGUGGCGGACGGGUGAGGAAUACAUCGGGACCUGCCCAGACGUGGGGGAUAACGUAGGGAAACUUACGCUAAUACCGCAUACGUCCUACGGGAGAAAGCGGGGGAUCUUCGGACCUCGCGCGGUUGGAUGGACCGAUGUUCGAUUAGCUAGUUGGUGGGGUAAAGGCUCACCAAGGCGACGAUCGAUAGCUGGUCUGAGAGGAUGAUCAGCCACACUGGGACUGAGACACGGCCCAGACUCCUACGGGAGGCAGCAGUGGGGAAUAUUGGACAAUGGGCGCAAGCCUGAUCCAGCAAUGCCGCGUGUGUGAAGAAGGCCUUCGGGUUGUAAAGCACUUUUAUCAGGAGCGAAAUACCACGGGCUAAUACCCUAUGGGGCUGACGGUACCUGAGGAAUAAGCACCGGCUAACUUCGUGCCAGCAGCCGCGGUAAUACGAAGGGUGCAAGCGUUAAUCGGAAUUACUGGGCGUAAAGCGUGCGUAGGCGGUGAUUUAAGUCUGCUGUGAAAUCCCCGGGCUCAACCUGGGAAUGGCAGUGGAUACUGGAUCGCUAGAGUGUGAUAGAGGAUGGUGGAAUUCCCGGUGUAGCGGUGAAAUGCGUAGAGAUCGGGAGGAACAUCAGUGGCGAAGGCGGCCAUCUGGAUCAACACUGACGCUGAGGCACGAAAGCGUGGGGAGCAAACAGGAUUAGAUACCCCCGUAGUCC